GUAGGGAAUAUUGCGCAAUGGACGAAAGUCUGACGCAGCGACGCCGCGUGAGUGAUGAAGGCCUUAGGGUCGUAAAGCUCUGUUGAAUGGGAAGAAAAAAAUGACGGUACCAUUCGAGGAAGGACCGGCUAACUUCGUGCCAGCAGCCGCGGUAAUACGAGGGGUCCUAGCGUUGUUCGGAAUCAUUGGGCGUAAAGGGUGUGUAGGUGGCCAUGUAAGUCGGGUGUGAAAGCCCCGGGCUCAACCCGGGAAGUGCACUUGAUACUGCGUGGCUUGAGUACCGAAGAGGGUAGUGGAAUUCCAGGUGUAGUGGUGAAAUACGUAGAUAUCUGGAGGAACACCGGUGGCGAAGGCGGCUACCUGGUCGAGUACUGACACUGAGACACGAAAGCAUGGGGAUCAAACAGGAUUAGAAACCCCUGUAGUCC
rnacentral:rRNA from 1 species